AUGGCCUCCUCCCCCUCCGAUAUCGCCUUCCAGGCCGCUAUCAACGGCAACCUCCGCCUCCUCAAGAAAAUGGCGACGAAGGUGGACCUGCGGGGAGCCAAGGACGCGAAAGGGGACACCGUGCUCCACUUCGCCGCGUGCAAGGGCAGCCUGGAGAUCUGCAAGUUCCUGGUGGAGGAGUCCAGGCUCGAUGUCGAUUCGGCGUCGAAAACAGGUGAGACGCCGAUGGUCUACGCCGCGCUCGCGGGGAAAGUCCAGGUUAUGAGGUACCUCCUCGACCGCGGCGCCUACCCGGCCGUCCACGAUGAUAACGGCUCGACGCCGCUGCACUAUGCGGCAGAGGAAGGGCACUGCGAGGCUGUAAGGCUGUUGCUGUCCAAAGGAGUCCCCGUGGAUCCUGUUGAUCACCGGGGCGCGCCGUUACACUUGGCGGUUGCAAAGGACCGUGUCGAGGUUGUGAAGCUUCUGCUGGAGCAUGGUGCUGAUCCAAACAAAUUGGUCAAUCAUAUCCUUACACCACUCCUGAUGUCUGUCAUUAGGAAGUCCUUGAAGUGCAUGAAGCUACUGAUUGAGGCGGGUGCUGAUCUGAAUGCUCGUGGUAACUCUGGACCAACUCCUUUAACACAAGCAGUUGAUGACGGUUUCACCGACUUUGUCAAGUUGCUCCUAGAGGCUGGAGCCGACCCUAACAUUCCUAGCGAGCAUGGUGCAAUUCCAGUCGAGCAAGCAGCAGUUCAUGGCCGACGUGACCUUGUUGAAGUUCUAUUUUCUAGGACAAAACCAAUUCCAUCUCUGCCAGAUUGGAGCGUUGAUGGGAUAAUUAGAACCGUAAAGUCUCCGCAUAUCAAUCGUCUUGAGGCAUUUUCUGUGGAAGAAAAAAUUGCUUUUUGGAAGUCACAAGGAAAGGAAGCAUUUGCAAAGGAGGACUACCUUACAGCAAUGUCCUUCUAUGGCAAGGUACUUGACACAGAUCCAUCUGAUGCCACCAUGUAUGCCAACCAGAGCCUCUGCUGGCUGCGUAUGAGACAUGGGAAGCUAGCUCUGGAAGACGCGCUCAAGUGCAGGAUGAUGCGGCCCCGUUGGUCCAAGGCCUGGUAUCGUGAAGGCGCAGUCCUCAGCUUCAUGAAGGUACAGCUGCUUGUAUCGAUUCUACCCUCGCAGUCGAACUCAUCCUCUCCGCUUGUAUAUACCUCCCUCUGGUGUUACUGA
rnacentral:rRNA from 1 species